GGGGUUGUAGCUCAGUGGUAGAGCACUUGCCUACCAUGCAUGAGAUCCUGGGUUUGCUCUCAGCACCA
rnacentral:tRNA from 1 species